rnacentral:tRNA from 1 species
AAAAGAUAAGCACUAAUUAUAUUGGUUGUGCGACUAGCUUGAAACUAGGGAGUGAGGGUUCAAGUCCCCCAUCUUUUG